rnacentral:rRNA from 1 species
CGCGUAGGCGGGGGACCAAGUCCGGGGUGAAAUCUUUCGGCUCAACCGGAAAACUGCCUUGGAUACUGGUCUUCUUGAGGGAGGUAGGGGCAGGUGGAACUUCCGGUGGAGCGGUGAAAUGCGUUGAUACCGGAAGGAACGCCGGUGGCGAAAGCGACCUGCUGGAUCUCUUCUGACGCUGAGGCGCGAAAGCUAGGGGAGCGAACG